rnacentral:rRNA from 1 species
UACAGAGGGUGCGAGCGUUGUUCGGAAUUACUGGGCGUAAAGCGCGCGCAGGCGGUUCUUCCAAGUCAGUGGUAGAAGCCUGGAGCUCAACUCCAGAACUGCCAUUGAAACUGUUAGACUUGAGUACGAGAGAGGUGAGUGGAAUUCCCAGUGUAGAGGUGAAAUUCGUAGAUAUUGGGAAGAACACCAGUGGCGAAGGCGGCUCACUGGUCCGGUACUGACGCUGAGGUGCGAAAGCGUGGGGAGCAAACAGG